AGAGGUGACUCCUCUGAGCCUGCACUGGUACUGAAUAAACCUGGCUAUUCCACAUCUCCAAGUGCCACUUGUCUUUCCACUGGCACUAUUUCUGCAACAUUUUCUGGUGCAUUGGCCAGGAAGCUAACAACCAAGCUGGCCCCUUUGCCACUGUUGUUGGGGAACUGGGGAAGGUCAUGGUUGCAGGCAUGGUGACAGGUGGAUAGUGCAUGCCAGCUGUUUUGCCGGAUCCUAACUCUCACUCAGGCCAUGCUGGCCCUGGCUCACGCCACUGCCUGAACGGACUCAGGGAGAGUGGAAACAGGUUCCAGGAUAGGAGGUCAGACUGGUCCCUCAGAACAAUAGUCUGGAAAAACAACCAUGAGCAAGGACACCCAUCAUGGACACAGGAUGACAGAUCCUCUUUGUCAGCAUGGAUUUGUCUCUUCCACACCUCCCACUCUGCCUCCAUUUCAAUGUCUUGUCAUCACACUCAUGAUGAAAUCAUAGAGGUAAGGGGAAAAACAUGUUUUUCCUUGUUUCUCAUUGGGAUGGAGGAAGACAGGUGCAGAUCCCAGGACAGGCGCCUCCCCAGAGGUGCUCCAUGGAACUGAUAUUAAGCAGUAAAAAGAAGGAGAAGCCAGGCUGCUCCCAUCACGGUGACACUGAGGGUGAGCUUUUGGCUCUAUCACUCCCUUAUGAAUACCUACUUUAUGAUUCUAACUGUGCCCUUUUCUGGAACACUAGUCGGGCACAUGCUCUGCAGUUUGUACACAAGCUGAGAGAAAGAGUAGUCGUGAGUGUAUUCUGCGUGUAUUUCAUGAAUGAAAUCUUCCUGAGAGCAGAGCCUACAGACAUGCUCCUGAACCGUCAUCGCCUCAGCUGUUUAUAUACAGGGUUUUGAAUGCCUGUUAGGCAGACCCUGCCAUGUCAUUCUCUCUUACUUGCCUUUUCCUACUCCUCCAGCAUUUAUACUCUGCAUUCAGGAUGGAUUAGAUGGAAUGUAUUCUAUCCAUGAAGCCAAGUGUCUAUAGAGAUGGGGACCUAGUAGUGGGUUGGUUUUCCCCUCUUUAUGCCACAGAUCAGGAACCAGACAUAUUCUAUCUCUCUUUUAUGCUUAGGCCAAAGCAAAUGGCAUUUGACAUGAAAGUUUUGGUUUGCAUGUUCUUAUGUGUGUUUCAUCCUCUAAAAUUAUCUAAGGUGGGCUUAGAAAUGGCAAAAUGUAGGCCAAUAGGAUUCUGAAUGUCCUAUUCCUUGCCUCUCUACAACCUUAAUUUUUUUUCUCCUCACUCUUUUCAAGAUAGAUGAGUGAUUUAUAUAUUUUUUGUCCACUCCAUUAACCACAUAUUCACAAUCAUUCCCUGGAGUUCUUAGAAUUACUGAUACUGCCAAAACCCAGACCCUCCAAAGCCAGGACCCUUAUACUGAGGCACAUAAUCCCUUGAAGACAUUGAUCUCCCUGGCUCUAAGGUCACUCUUAGGAGAAAAUGGCUCAGCCUGGAUGCCCACAGCUGACAAAGAUGUUGAAAUAUGCACCCCUGGAUAUGUGGUUGCCUGGAUAUCUGGACUUCCAAGGGUGCCCUGGCUCACCAUCCUAAGAAAAUAAAUCAAACUAAAUACCAUUAAUUUAAUUCUAUCAGGAAUGUGGGAGUCAGCCCAUUAUCCUGGAAGUCAAGAGAAGAAAGGUAAUUAUUUCAGUGGUGGUUAAAGUUUUACUUUUUGUCAACAUUAUCAACUUAUCAAGGAAAAAAAUGAGAACACUACCUGAAAAUCAGGCUGUGUGCAUGCACAUCUCUGGGUGAGUUACAGUAUGGAUCAUUCAGGGGUCCCUCAAACAGUCUGUGUUGAAAGUUUUGCUAGUGGUCCUGCAAACUUUACCAACACGCUUAUGUCCUCGGAAAGGGAGGAGACAUCUAGAAGCUAUGUAUUUUGUUUUCAUGAGAUGUUCAUAUCCAUACUAAUUCCCGUUGGGUGUUUUUUUAAACACCAGUCAUGUAAGCAGGUGCCCUUGCACUGGAGGGCUGCUGACUUUUGGAGUUAGAACUUCAGUCUUAUUUUCUCUCAUCUGUGUGAAGACCUCUGCCAGCUCAAUCUUUUCCCCUACAGCUGUCUCAUUUCAUGUUACCUUACCUCUUUCUUCUCUGCUUCUACAACUCUAAUCAAAUAUGAAAUGGAAUGUUUCAUGGAAAUUAUUUCAUGGGUGUACAUUCUUUGGUUGGGUGGAAGCUACUGAUUAUUUGCUCCCUACCAGGGUUAGGGUAGCAGGGAGAAAACUAUCAAGAGAAGAUGGAAACUCUCUCAUCUCAGGCCCCAAGUGGCAUCUAAUAUAUAAGUUCUUUUUGCAUGUGUGUGUGUUUGUGUGUGUGUGUGUGAGAUUCUUCCCCCUGAAAAUGAUCUAAAGUGUGUGCAGAAAUGGGGAAAUGUGAACCAAUGGAAUUCUGAAUGUUCCUUUUCUCUCUACUUCCUUAAAGUUUUUUCUUCUCACCCUUGUUCAGAUACAGGAGUCAAUUAAACUUUUGUGUCUAAUAUUUUAUUCCAAUAUCUAUGAUCAGUCCUUGGAGUUCUUAGAAUUAGCGAGAUUUCUGAACCCCAGCCCCUCCUGCUGUCAAGACCCUUUCACUGAGGCACACAAUCCCUUUGAGACACUGACCCCUCUGGCCUGAAACCAAACUUAGGAGACCAUGGCUCAACCUGGAUGCCCACUGCUGACAAAGACAUUGUUGAAAUGUGCUCCUCUGGUCCCUCUGUAAUCUAGUCCCUCCAAGCUUUUUUCAGGUGGCCAAUACCAGUCUUCUUCCAUGUAGCCAGCCCCAGAUCUCUCUUGAGUCUGAUCUCUAAGGCCAGAGUUUUAGUUCCUGACACCUGCUGGCACCUGCAUACAGUUGCCAUAACAGUUUGGGGGGUGGGGGGAUGUACUUGGGUUAUGGGAUGGAAAUCCUGUGAAAUUGGAUUGUUAUGAUCAUUAUACAACUAAAGAUAUGAUAAAUUCAUUUGAGUAAUAAAAAAAUAAAGUAUAGAAUCUCAAAAAAAGAAAAAUAGAGUUCCUCCUCCUCCACUGCUGAUCUCCCUGCUGGUGGGGGAACUUCCCAGGGUGCAGAAGCUUUUCCUCCUUCCAGCUCCCUCCUAGGGUCCAGUCUCAUUUUUUUAAUCUUCUAUCUUUUUAUUCUUUUUUCUUUUGUCCUAUACAGUUUCAUGAAGUGUUUCUUGCUCUAGCAUAAUCCUGGAGUCUUUUUUUAUCAGAUUUUCUGUGCAAAUAGUUCCAUGUUUAGAUGCAUUCUCAGUGUAUAUGUGGGAGUAGGUAAGUCUCAUCCUACUACUCUGCCAUCCUCCUGAAUCCCCCUAAAAUAUUUUUAAUUUAAAAAUGACCUUAAAAAUUGGAGUUUUGUUUCUGAAUGCAGAAGGUAACCAAUAUUAAAUAACUCUAAUGUAUUUUCCUCAUGCUUUUCAAUCCUAAUUUUCCACCUUGAAAUGGCAAUAAGCACAAUAUUUAUCAAAUAUUGUGCUUAUAUAUAAACAGAGUAUUCUUUCUAGAACCUCUGUAUUUCUACUCAAUUUAUUGUGUUUUUUCUUCCAAUAAUGAACUUUUGAGACUGUUUCAGUAUAUUAUAUUUUUCCAUAUCCUCUGUCAUGUUCUCCCCUCCCAAGAAAAGUUACUUCUCUUUGAGAAAAUCCCUUGGAAAUAUGAGAAUCAACAUCUAUACUUUCUGAAAAGUAUAUUCAGGUUAUAAUUGGGUUACACUGAAUCGGUCAUAAACUUUGGUUGAAAAUAAGUUCAUUAUAAUAUUUUACUGCUGAUAAAAAACAGUAUUUCUCUAUUUAACCUGGCAUUUUAUUUCCUCUUAGUGCGUCAUCAUAUUUUGUUUCAUUUUUUCUAUUUGUUUUAGAAUCCAUUGAUUUGUCAUUAUUUUCAUUAUUACCUUACUUUCCAAAUGUUCCAAGUUGAUUUUCCUCCUCUCUUUUAUAUUUUUUGAGGAAGGACCUCAGAUUAUGGAUUUCAGAACUUCUCCUCUAAUAUAAUCACAGACUGCAAUAAGUUUCCCUCUUUGCAUUUUUUUAGAAUCUGCUUUUGAGAAAUUAUGACAUACUGUAAACUCAUUUUCAUUACUUUUUAUCUAUUUUUUAAAAUUUCCAUUGAGCAUUUCUGUUUUUCACUUUUGACUUUUAUAAGUGGGUUGAAUAAUUUCCAAUUGUUUGGAUAUUUUCUCGUUAUCUUUUUUAUUGUUUUAAACUGUUCCCAGGAGUUCCUGUUGUGGCUCAGGGGGUUACGAACCCAACUAUUAUCCACGAGGAUGCAGGUUUGAUCUCUGGCCUCACUCAGUGGGUUGGGGAUCUGGCGCUGUCAUGAGCUGUGGUGUAUGUCACAGACGUGACUCGGAUCUGGCAUUGCUGUGGCUGUGGCUGUUUUGUAGGCUGGCAGCUGCAGCUCCAAUUUCAACUCCUAGUCUGGGAACUUCAAUACGCUGCAGGUGUGGCCCUAUAAAGAAAAAAGAAAAAA
rnacentral:lncRNA from 1 species